ACGGGAGGCAGCAGUGGGGAAUAUUGGACAAUGGGGGCAACCCUGAUCCAGCGACGCCGCGUGAGUGAAGAAGUAUUGCGGUAUGUAAAGCUCUUUAAGCAGGAAAGAUAGUGACGGUACCUGCAGAAUAAGCACCGGCUAACUACGUGCCAGCAGCCGCGGUAAUACGUAGGGGGCAAGCGUUAUCCGGAUUUACUGGGUGUAAAGGGAGCGUAGACGGCAAUGCAAGUCUGAAGUGAAAGCCCGUGGCUCAACUGCGGAACUGCUUUGGAAACUGUAAAGCUAGAGUGUCGGAGGGGUGAGUGGAAUUCCCAGUGUAGCGGUGAAAUGCGUAGAUAUUGGGAGGAACACCGGCGGCGAAGGCGGCUCACUGGACGAUAACUGACGUUGAUGCUCGAAAGCGUGGGGAGCAAACAGGAUUAGAUACCCUGGUA
rnacentral:rRNA from 1 species